UACGUAGGGUGCAAGCGUUGUCCGGAAUUAUUGGGCGUAAAGAGCUCGUAGGCGGUUUGUCGCGUCUGCUGUGAAAACCCGAGGCUCAACCUCGGGCCUGCAGUGGGUACGGGCAGACUAGAGUGCGGUAGGGGAGAAUGGAAUUCCUGGUGUAGCGGUGGAAUGCGCAGAUAUCAGGAGGAACACCGAUGGCGAAGGCAGGUCUCUGGGCAUUAACUGACGCUGAGGAGCGAAAGCAUGGGGAGCGAACAGG
rnacentral:rRNA from 1 species